rnacentral:rRNA from 1 species
GCCUGGCCCUAAAUCUUGAUACUUACCCUACCGAAGUAUCCGCCAGAGAACUACGAGCACAAACGCUUAAAACUCUAAGGACUUGGCGGUGCCCUAAACCCACCUAGAGGAGCCUGUUCUGUAAUCGAUGAUCCACGAUCAACCCAACCGCCCCUUGCCAAGCACAGCCUACAUACCGCCGUCGCCAGCCCACCUCGAAUGAGAGCGCAACAGUGGGCGCAACAGCACCCCGCUAAUAAGACAGGUCAAGGUAUAGCCUAUGGGACGGAAGAAAUGGGCUACAUUCCCUAUGCAUAGGGCAACACGGAAAGAAGUAUGAAACUGCUUCUAGAAGGAGGAUUUAGCAGUAAAGCGGGACAAUAAAGCUCGCUUUAAGCCGGCCCUAGGGCACGU